UACGUAGGGAGCAAGCGUUGUCCGGAAUCAUUGGGCGUAAAGCGCGCGUAGGCGGCCCGAUAAGUCCGCUGUAAAAGUCAACGGCUCAACUGUUGAAAGCCGGUGGAUACUGUCGGGCUAGAGUACGGAAGAGGCAAGUGGAAUUCCUGGUGUAGCGGUGAAAUGCGCAGAUAUCAGGAAGAACACCCGUGGCGAAAGCGGCUCUCUGGAACGGUACUGACGCUGAGACGCGAAAGCGUGGGGAGCGAACAGG
rnacentral:rRNA from 1 species